UUUAACAAAUGGAAAAAAAAAAUACCUAAACUUAUUGUAUUUUUAUCUUAAAAUCAAAAGACAAAAAGCUACUGCAAAAAGCUUCGAUGGUGCACUCAAACACAUAUAUUCUGGAUGGAAGCUUCAGUGGUACGUGGUCUUCUUUUCUCCAUUAUCUCUUUCAAAUGAUGUUUUGAGUGAAAUUAUGCAGCCUCCUAAAAUAUUUUAUCCAGCAAACAUAAUUGUUAGUUUAAUGGAGAAAAUGAAGAAAAGAAGACUACCUCCACAAAGAUAUGAGAUAUGAGGUUCAUUUAAGAUUCUCAGUUUUAAUCAUAUCUAUCCUAUUUAUUUUAAGCCUCCUAAAAUGUUUUAUCCAACAAAAAUAGUAAUACUAUACCUUUUAUAUGCAUAUUUAUUACAUUUAUUAGACAAAUCUACAAAAAUUGUAAAUGUGGUUUUCAGAAAUAUCAACUCUAGUCCCUAACUUUGUUCGGUCUCAUAGAACGUCUUUAUGGUUUUAAUUUCUAUCGUUUUUGGCCCUUCACAAAAGAUAUUUAUAAACUUUUUAUUUCUUUUUAUAAUUAGUUUUAACUAAACCUACUAAAAAAAGAAAAACAAAAUAAAUAACCUUGGGCUCUCCAUGGCUCUUUAAAUGUUUCUUCCCUAAAAAUUAUGUAAACAAACUCAUUUAAAUAAAAAAAUCAAAUAAAUUCAUAAAAAACUUCAAUGAAAUAAAAAAAUCAGAUGAACUAUCGUUCCUCCGUAUGUUUCUGGUUUGUGAAGACUAUUCCUACCCAUCGUAUUUUGCAUUUCGGUUCUUUAUGGUUGUGAUUCUUUGUAAAAAAAAAGGUAAACGUACAGUUUGAUUCGCUGGAAUAUACAUCUAUGAGACUAGUGUGACUAUAAGAUGUAACAUCUCCAAUUCCACGACCAAAAUGACCGAUUUGAUUAUGUUUAUUUAAAAUCAGAAUAUCUUUUUUGAAUAAUAAUAUUGCGGAAUUUUUGCCAAAACAUCAUACUUAUAUUAUCAAAGCAUUUCCGAAGAUAUGUAUUUUAUUUAUAUUAAAAAAAUUUGGGAUGUCUUCGUCAAUAUAAUACAUAAGUAUAAACUGAAAUAAUACAAGCCUUACAAACAUCUAUUAUUCUACUAGCCUAUAAUUCAUAAAUCUCUCAUUUGAUCAUCACACAUGUGCUCUUGUGUCACUUCCUAUAAUAAUAGCAACUGAGUGGGUCAGACUUGAGAACCUGAUGAAGACAUAGGAUUUUCAACCCAUAAUAAUAAAUUCUUUUAAUUAUAUAUAUUUUCAUCAAAUCAUUCAAACCGAUUAUCCAUUCCUGUUAUCCUCACCUUUUGUCCUUAAAGCAUCUAAUUCAAGGGACCUAUCCUAAGGAUUAUCCUUGGGAUAGACAAUAAUUCUCAGGGGAUUCCUUAGCAAUAUAUGUAAAUAAGGCAACCGUAGGGGGAUGGAGUACACCUGGUGAACACGUAAUUCAAAAACACCUACAGGCUGCGAGCCUGCUAGCAUUUCACUGGACUUUUUAGAAUAGUCUGUGUUCGUCAUCUAUACUCUGCUAGACGACUAGAUCAUCUUUAAAGUCAAGGCCUCUCAUCAUUUAUCUCAUCUUUCACCUCUCAUCAUUUAUAUCAUCUUUUAUCUACCCAUCUUUACCCAAUAUAUUUAUAAGUAUCAAAAAUACAGUUUGAAUCAACUAAAACAUGUAUAAAUCAUUCAUAUAUCAUAUAUAUAUAUCAGGAACAUAGAUGAUAGGCACAUAUAGCAUGUAAUUAUCUGAAAUACUUCAUAUAUAUAUAUAUAUAUAUAUAUAUAUAUAUAUAUAUAUAUNNNNNNNNNNNNNNNNNNUCUUUGUGUAUAUAUAUAUAUAUAUAUAUAUAUAUAUUUGUGUGUGUGUGUGUGUUUGUGUGUGUAAUGAAAGUAACUAUGCAUUCAAUUGUUAAAGUUAUAACUCGAAACUUGGACAUCGUUUCGCUUUAACCAAUUAACUUUACCUUUAACAUAACCUAGUAUCAUUUUCACUAAGCCUUAGUCCAAUAUUCUACAUGACUAAAAAUAGUCUAGACCUAUCAAUAAUUCCAAUGAAUACCGAUAGUUAUACCAAAUAAGGAUCAACUAGGUAGGUCAGUUUGGAGGCAUGACCAUUUCGGCAUAUAGCCUUUCUGAAAUCCAACAACCAAGCCAACGUGACCAUUCUAUACACUUCUCCCGUAAGAUCAAUCAAUAUUAUAACUUGGAAUUACUGAUAGUUCUUAUUUAUAAAUUGAUAAAAACAACUAUUAAUUUAAAUAUAAAUAACACUAAAUAAAAUAAAGUGUAAUUUAACUUACAGGGAUUGCCUAGACAAAAGUCCAGAUAUUGCACAGGCGGGACUCCGGGAUGAUAACUCCGAGAUGUCAGGCUCAUAGGGAUCUUUGAACUAAUCAAAAUAUCCUAAAUACUAAGAAAAUUCGGGCUAGUUGUAGGGAGAUUCGAUAGAGUGAAUUUCCAAGAGUGUUAGGAAUGAAUGAACAUUGAGAAGCUAUUUAUAGGAAGAUGUACGGCCUUACGCGCUGUACACAGGACCAUGCAUACCACGCACUGGCUUGGUCUUUACUCCUCUAUCUACGACGAACAUGUGGUGAUCAAUGGGUGGGGCGACGUGGCGGCUUCUUGAACGUGUUGCGCGUUGUGAACCUCGCGCGUGAUGAUUCUCAGAAUUUCAAAAUUACGUAACUUCUUCAUACGAACUUUUUUGUUGACGUUCUCUAUAUCUACGGAAAGCUCUCGAUGAGAUUUACAACUUUUAGUUAGACUCUGUCGGAUAAUGUUUACUUUAUUUAUCUUACACAGACUUAGACUGUUAAAGCUCGUAUAAAAUGCAUAACUCUCUCAUCCGGGGCCCGUUUUCGGUUGUCUUUAUAUCGUGAACUCCUAUUAACGAGAUCUUCAAUUAUCAUUUAAUUCAUUUUGGUUAAAAAUCGACCGAUCUAAAAUUCAAUUUCUGAGCUGUAUACUGCUACACUGAAUCAUAGAAAAAUCAUAACUUCCUCUAAUAAAGUCAGAUUUAGACGUUAUUUAUAUGUACGCUUUUGNUAUAUAUAUAUUAUUUGCUCAAGUUUUAAAUUUAUAAAACUGAUUUUAUCUCAACCAGACUAAUAAACACAUUAAGCAGUAUACCUAAUCGUGCAAUAGUAUAGUUGUGGUAAGAUUAUGUGUAAAACACAAGGGAAACAAUGGUGAAUUAAUUUAGAAUUCUUGAUUAUAGGUUACAAAUAACACAAAUGCACUAAAUAAGGGUUUUUGGAAUUAAUUAUCAAAUAAGCAAUCAAACAUCAGAUCUCGAUAAACUGGCUGAAAAUAAAAUUCCUUAGGUACUUUGGUUUAGAGUAAAUUUCAUCUCAAAAUACUGGCUAACCACUUAAUUAUGGAUAUUUAUUCAUUAUUCAUCGAUUCCUAAUAUGGCUAGCAUCAUGAUCAGACUACAAAUCCUUUGAUUUCAAUACAACUACUAAUUCAGUGAUUAGGUGAACAAACAAUCAUGCAAAUCAAUAUUUGGUUCGUAUUAAGCAAGAUUUGAUGUUUAUUGUGACAACCCGAAAAUUCUAGCUUACCUUCUUCAUUUCUUAUCAAAGUUAAACUCGUUUUUUUUUUUACUAUUUUCUAGCACUGUUUGGAGUCAAAUAGAGUGUUUAAAGCUUAGUAUAAGCAGGGUAGGAGUUGUGGGAUAAGUAUUGUGGGUGUAUCGCCUUGCAUUUGAGCCAAUCACACCAACACAAGGUGUGUGCGGCCACACACCCAUCCCAACCGCACACUCGCCCUAUAUAUAGAACACUUAUCCAUUUGGAACACUUUACUUCCUCAAAGCUAGGACCCAAAAAUCCUCUCAAGUAUCAUCUAAAUCUCCUUGAGGAUCUUCAUAAAAGGUAACAUCUUACACCAAGAACACUAGGUGUACGGCCGCACACACCAUGUAUGGCCGCACACCCAACCGCACACACCAUGUAGGGCCGCACACACAUAUAGUGCGUAUUUUGGCCAUACACUCCUUUGUAAAGCCAUAUACCCCCUUCAUACAAUCAUAUAUGGUUGUAACACUUCAAUAUAAGUGUUUACUAGUCCCUAAGGUGGUCACAAUUCAAUAAUCAGUUGUUCUAAACACUAACUGGAUACAUAUAUGUGAUAUUAUAUGUUAACUAGGAUCAUAGAGUGUGUUCAAGGCUUCACUUGACACCUAGCAAGCCUACAUCUGCAGCUCAUCCGUACCACUCACUACAGGUGAGUUGAUACCCCUUAAUCAAUAUUUUAAAUGUUUUUAAAUGCUUUUAUGGGGGGGGGGAUACAAGUUGAAUCAUGCUAGUUAUUAUAUCAAUCACAUAUAGUUAAUAAGCAGCAUACAAAUGGAUUUACUACUUAUUAGCUGUUUUACCAAACAGUUUACUUCAAAUGGUUUUCCAAAACACUUUUACUCAUUUAAAACUCUUUGCUAAACUGUCUUUCAUACUGAAUGUAUCUUUUCAAACCCUGUUACAGUUGUGAUUCAAAACAAAUGUUUUCCUUAUACUUUACACUGUUCUUAUCAAACAAACUGCUUUCAAAAUCAUUUUACAUUUUGACAUCAAGUCAUCUUUUCUUAGUUGCCAAACUUUUCAAUAGUUUACAACUUCUGUUAUACUUUUAUAUUGUCAAUUGCAUGCCUAUGUAUGUAUAGUUAUAUAAGAAAUGUUUAAAGGACUUAGGAAGGCUAGCCACUUUAUUUCCUUUUCCCCGUUGGGAUGUGGUCUGGUAGGGUAUCGGGUAUCCGUCUGACAGUCGUUUAAUUAUUAGUUAUAUAUCAUGUGUACGUACAUAGUCAUAAAAGUUCUAUCGGUCAGUUCAAUACCCUUGGGUAGCAAGGGUAUACCUACAUGUUCAUACGUACAAGUCAUAUUACUAGUAAGCUACCAUAUGGGUAGUUUAGGAAGAUACUAAUACUAUUACUAGAAUACGAAAUCAUACCACGAGUCAGUUCAUCCAUGAGUCUUUACAUGCUAAAUAGAGAGAGAACACGCUCUACAGCUAGCACACACAGUACACUACUAUACUACUAUAUGAGUACGUUUACAUAGAUACGCUUACAUAGAUACGCUUACAUGAGUACGUUUACAUAGAUACGCUUACAUAGAUACGCUUACAUGAGUACGUUUACAUAGAUACGCUUACAUGAGUGCGUUUACAUAUACGAUGAUAGGACAAACAUAACUAGGUGCUAUAGCAUGGAACGAUUUCAGGAUCUAACAAUAACAAUGAAUCACAACGCAUUGUGGUAGUUAUAUUAGGUAUACAUGAUUAUAGUAAUGUGGAUGUUCGCGGCUUGCAAACAUGCAGGGGUCGUGUAUGGGUCCCAAAAUCUCUUUGACAAGGGAGCGUCUAGCCUGGGAUCUAGCCAUCACAUUAUGCCUUAUCCCUCAAAUAAGGCAAAAUAGUACAAAAGUAGUCACUUAUUACAAAUACUACAGUACUUACGAAAUUACAAUAGAUUUAAGGUAGUUAGUACGGUUGUAGUUAUCUUAUACUACACCAUAGUACUAUUUCAUUUUCCCAUUACAUUCACUUCGUGAAUAUUCACACGAUGCACGAUAAUGUAGAAGAUAUAUUUUUGGGUAAUGAUAGUCGGAUUUGGGAAAAUACACACUCUUACAAGAGACACACACAGAUACUAGAUGCCUUGGUAGAAGGAUACUUUUAGUAGGAAACAUAUGGUUUUUGUAGGAGGUUUAAAACUUUUACAUACUUACAUUUCAUAUGCGUACAAAUACUUACAUACAAAUUAAGACACUAAAAUACUUAUGAUCUCACCAGCUUUAAAGCUGAUACUCUCUUUCAAUAUAACUUGUAUCCUCAGGUCAACAGUAGACAGGUACCGAUGCAAGGUUUAGAGAAAAUGGAACUCGUUCAAGACUCAUCUUUCAUUUUGAUUUAUACUUUAGUGUAUAUUAGACAUAUCAGAAGACUUGUAUUAAAAUUAUAUUAUUAAUGCAAUGGAUGAUGUUGUUGCUUGUUUACUACUUUUCAUUGUUGUGAUACUGUACAUGACGUCCUCCGCCCCAGAACGUUUCCGUCGUUCAUGGUUUUGGGGUGUGACAUUUAUUAACCCUAAUGAUCAUAGGAGUUAUAUCAUUCAUAGAAUGAUCAUCUACUCAUGCACACACAUUAAAGUUCAUUUCUUUAUUUCCUAACCCUAGGUUUUGAUCCAAAUC
rnacentral:lncRNA from 1 species